rnacentral:rRNA from 1 species
UUCGUAGGCGGCGCAGUAAGUUGGAUUUGAAAUAUCGGGGCUCAACCCGGAACCGGAUCCAAAACUACCGUGCUAGAGCAGAUCAGAGGGCAGUGGAAUUCCCGGUGUAGCGGUAAUAUGCGUAGAGAUCGGGAGGAACACCAGUGGCGAAGGCGGCUGCCUGGGGUCUUGCUGACGCUGAGGAACGAAAGCUAGGGUAGCGAACG